rnacentral:tRNA from 1 species
GGUGUCCUGGCGCAAUGGUAGCGCGUUGGUUUUCGGUUCUCGCUGAAGUUCGCCAAAGGUUGUAGGUUCGAGCCCUGCGGACAUCG